UCUCAUGCUCCCUGAACCACUCUGUCACAAUCUGAGCCCGAUGGAUCCUGGCAUUGUCCUCUUGGAUCAUGCCCGUGCCAUCAGGGGAGAAGAAAUCCACUGAUGGAAUAACCUGGUCCUUCAGUAUAUUCAGGGAGUCAGCUGACCUCAUUCUUUGGGCACAUUGCUGAACCUAGAGCAGACCAGCUGCAGCACCCCCAGAUCAUAGCACAUUGACGAGAAGGGAGUGUCUGACGUGAGAUUUACCACAACAAAACAAUAUCAACAUCAUACCAGAGCUGCAUUGUUUUCUCUUCAGCAGGACCAGUUUACAGGAACUUAUCCUUUCACAAGAAUGUGACAGUCAAGCAUGUAUCAAAGUGCCCGGACGGCCUCGGACUUACGAGAAACAGAUCUGAACUCAGAUUCUCUGCACGGGAGUGACAACCUUACAGGAUGCUGGCACGAAAUGUAACAGGUGUGAAAUGAAAUCGAGUUAAACGUGGUCCGAGCAAGGGGCCAUAUCUUUGCCUAUUUUAAAAUGUGUUUAUAAAGGCAACCACCCAAACAUUGCAUUUCUUUAAAACACUGGGGACGACUGACACUGAAUUGUUGAACUGUAUUCAUAUAUUUAGAGCCUUACUCUGUGGUGGCCGACCCGUGCCAAUGCGCUACAACGGCCCAAAACACUUUCAUAAUACUUUCAAAAACGAUGCAAAUAUAGAAACACAAAAGUGACGAAACACAUGCAAAGGAAGAAACAUCUUCAUCAUCUUGACGAAACAGUCGCAGCGUUUACUAAAAGCUGCUAAUACAACGUAAACCAGGGGACACCAAAAAGUGGCGCACACAGCUGGGACCGCAGUGCUUGGUGAUGUUAUACAGUGAUGGGCAAGUUACUUCCAAAAUGUAAUACAGUACAUGUAACUUAUUACUGUCUUUUGAAAGUAAUAAGUUACAUUACUUUAUUACUGUCUCUGAACUGUAAUGCGUUACACUACUUUGCGUUACUUAGAGUUACUUUCACCAAAAUACCCGCAAUGGUCUUUCUUUUCUCCGAGCCUGCAGCUCUGCAUCGUGAGUCUGUAGCUCUGCAUC